rnacentral:lncRNA from 1 species
GGUGAGAAGAAGAAGAGGAAGAAGUGGUGAGGUAGUGAGGUGAAGGCUUGUUGGUGACACAUACAUGCAGGACGCAUGUGACAAUGACAGUGAUUGUAAAAGUUAGAGAAGGAAGUGGAGGAGGAAGAAAAGGUGGAGGAAGAGAAAAUACUUGCCCAAAGUUGAAAAUGACCUGAAGGUGGUGGUGGUAAUACAAGAAAGACAAUGAGGAGGAAAACCGUCCAUAAUAUUUUGCAAAACUGCUUUUUCCAGCAUUUUUUACAACUGUGAGAAACAUAUUUUUCAAGAGUUAAAAUCGUCGAUAACGCUAAAAAUAACUCUUAGGAAAAUUACAUAUUUUGGCCUUAGAAAGUUUAAUACUAAGAGUGUGUAGCAUCAUAACUAUCUUAAUCUCUAUAUAGAAUUAUAUAUAGUCUCUUCACUUUCAAACAUCAUAAGAGUUAUACUAUAUUUUCCAUUACUAGAAAGUGGUUCCUCCUUCAAAAAUACAAAGAUAUAAUUUUUGAG